rnacentral:rRNA from 1 species
AGAGUUUGAUCAUGGCUCAGAUUGAACGCUGGCGGCAUGCCUUACACAUGCAAGUCGAACGGCAGCACGGGGGCAACCCUGGUGGCGAGUGGCGAACGGGUGAGUAAUACAUCGGAACGUGUCCUGUAGUGGGGAUAGCCCGGCGAAAGCCGGAUUAAUACCGCAUACGAUCUACGGAAGAAAGCGGGGAUCCUUCGGGA